rfam:Thecamonas trahens ATCC 50062 unplaced genomic scaffold supercont1.23, whole genome shotgun sequence.
AGCGGCGUGGCGCAGCGGUUAGCGUGUUGGGCCCAUAACCCAAAGGUCGCCCGAUCGAGACGGGCCGCCGCUA